rnacentral:rRNA from 1 species
GACGGAGGGUGCUAGCGUUGUUCGGAAUUACUGGGCGUAAAGGGCGCGUAGGCGGCCCCUUGCGUCGGACGUGAAAGCCCGGGGCUCAACCCCGGAACGGCGUCCGAUACGGAGGGGCUGGAGACCGGGAGAGGAGGGUGGAAUACCCAGUGUAGAGGUGAAAUUCGUAGAUAUUGGGUGGAACACCGGUGGCGAAAGCGGCUCUCUGGCCCGGUUCUGACGCUGAGGCGCGAAAGCGUGGGGAGCAAACAGG